AUUGAACGCUGGCGGCAGGCCUAACACAUGCAAGUCGAACGAGUGGCGGACGGGUGAGUAAUGUCUGGGAAACUGCAUGAUGGAGGGGGAUAACUACUGGAAACGGUAGCUAAUACCGCAUACCAUCAGAUGUGCCCAGAUGGGAUUAGCUAGUAGGUGGGGUAACGGCUCACGUAGGCGACGAUCCCUAGCUGGUAUGAGAGGAUGACAAGCAAUACUGGAACUGAGACACGGUCCAGACUCCUACGGUAGGCAGCAGGGGGGAAUAUUGCACAAGGGGCGAAAGCCUGAUGCAGCCAUGCCGCGUGUGUGAAGAAGGCUUUCGGGUUGUAAAGCACUUUCAGCGGGGAGGCGUUACCCGCAGAAGAAGCAACGGCUAACUCCGUGCCAGCAGCCGCGGUAAUAC
rnacentral:rRNA from 1 species